rnacentral:rRNA from 1 species
AGAGUUUGAUCAUGGCUCAGGACGAACGCUGGCGGCGUGCUUAACACAUGCAAGUCGAACGGUGAAGGAGGAGCUUGCUCCUCCGGAUCAGUGGCGAACGGGUGAGUAACACGUGAGUAACCUGCCCUUGACUCUGGGAUAAGCGUUGGAAACGACGUCUAAUACCGGAUACGACCUCUGAAGGCAUCUUCUGGAGGUGGAAAGAAUUUCGGUCAAGGAUGGACUCGCGGCCUAUCAGCUAGUUGGUGAGGUAACGGCUCACCAAGGCGACGACGGGUAGCCGGCCUGAGAGGGUGACCGGCCACACUGGGACUGAGACACGGCCCAGACUCCUACGGGAGGCAGCAGUGGGGAAUAUUGCACAAUGGGCGCAAGCCUGAUGCAGCAACGCCGCGUGAGGGAUGACGGCCUUCGGGUUGUAAACCUCUUUUAGCAGGGAAGAAGCGAAAGUGACGGUACCUGCAGAAAAAGCACCGGCUAACUACGUGCCAGCAGCCGCGGUAAUACGUAGGGUGCAAGCGUUGUCCGGAAUUAUUGGGCUUAAAGAGCUCGUAGGCGGUUUGUCGCGUCUGCUGUGAAAACCCGAGGCUCAACCUCGGGCCUGCAGUGGGUACGGGCAAACUAGAGUGCGGUAGGGGAGAUUGGAAUUCCUGGUGUAGCGGUGGAAUGCGCAGAUAUCAGGAGGAACACCGAUGGCGAAGGCAGAUCUCUGGGCCGUAACUGACGCUGAGGAGCGAAAGCGUGGGGAGCGAACAGGAUUAGAUACCCNNGUAGUCC